rnacentral:rRNA from 1 species
CCUACGGGUGGCAGCAGUGGGGGAUAUUGGACAAUGGUGGGAACCCUGAACCAGCGACGCCGCGUGCAGGAAGAAGUAUUUCGGUAUGUAAAGCUCCUUCAGCAGGGAAGAAAGAAAUGACGGUACCUGACCAAGAAGCCCCGGCUAACAACGUGCCAGCGGCCGCGGUAAUACGUAGGGGGCAGGCGUUAUCCGGAUUUACUGGGUUUAAAGGUAGCGUAGACGGUUAAGUAAGUCUGGAGUGAAAGGCCGGGGCCCAACCCCGGGACUGCUCCGGAAACUAGUGAACUUGAGUGCAGGAGAGGUAAGCGGAAUUCGUAGUGUAGCGGUGAAAUGCGUAGAUAUUAGGAGGAACACCAGUGGCGAAGGCGGCUUACUGGACUGUAACUGACGUUGAGGCUCGAAAGCGUGGGGAGCAAACAGGAUUAGAUACCCUUGUAGUC